rfam:Pseudonocardia thermophila strain DSM 43832 genome assembly, contig: Ga0131094_106
UGCCACCGCCCUCACACUCGGAUCGUCCGGCACGUUCCUGCCGGUGGAAGGGAAGGACC